rnacentral:lncRNA from 10 species
CCUCUGAAUCAUAAACUAAAAGAAAUCCUUCCUCUCAACUCUCUCUUUUCCAGUUUCUGACAUUGGAAUUGCGGCAGUAAAGCCUUAUCACGCUAUGGUGAUCUUCAGACUAGCAUGUGAGUGGAAAUCUGGCUUUAAGUGUGGAAUCUGGACAUAAGGUCCCAGCAGAAUGGAGGAAGAAUGGACCUAGAAUGGAGGAAGAUGAGCUGAUCUGGAAUUGGGAGUGUCAUACUCUACUCCACUUAUAUUUUUGAUCUAUAAAGGUGUAACCAC